rnacentral:rRNA from 1 species
AUGGGAACGCGAAGAACCUUACCUAGACUUGACAUCUCCUGAAUAGUGUAGAGAUACAUGAAGCCCUUCGGGGCAGGAAGACAGGUGGUGCAUGGUUGUCGUCAGCUCGUGUCGUGAGAUGUUGGGUUAAGUCCCGCAACGAGCGCAACCCUUAUUACUAGUUGCUACCAUUAAGUUGAGCACUCUAGUGAGACUGCCCGGGUUAACCGGGAGGAAGGCGGGGAUGACGUCAAAUCAUCAUGCCCCUUAUGUCUAGGGCUACACACGUGCUACAAUGGUGGGAACAAAGAGAUGCAAGACCGCGAGGUGGAGCUAAACUCAAAACCCCAUCCCAGUUCGGAUUGUAGGCUGAAACUCGCCUACAUGAAGCUGGAGUUGCUAGUAAUCGCGAAUCAGAAUGUCGCGGUGAAUACGUUCCCGGGUCUUGUACACACCG